GGCUUUAUAGUUGAUUUUAACAAUAUUGAAUUGCAAGUUCAAAGGUGAGAAAACAUCUCUAAAGCUU
rnacentral:tRNA from 1 species